rnacentral:rRNA from 1 species
CCUACGGGAGGCUGCAGUGAGGAAUAUUGGUCAAUGGGCGUAAGCCUGAACCAGCCAAGUCGCGUGAGGGAUGAAGGUUCUAUGGAUCGUAAACCUCUUUUAUAAGGGAAUAAAGUGUGGGACGUGUCCUGUUUUGUAUGUACCUUAUGAAUAAGUAUCGGCUAACUCCGUGCCAGCAGCCGCGGUAAUCCGGAGGAUCCGAGCGUUAUCCGGAUUUAUUGGGUUUAAUGGGUGCGUAGGCGGCCUUUUAAGUCAGCGGUGAAAGUCUGUGGCUCAACCAUAGAAUUGCCGUUGAAACUGGGAGGCUUGAGUAUGUUUGAGGCAGGCGGAAUGCGUGGUGUAGCGGUGAAAUGCUGAGAUAUCACGCAGAACCCCGAGUGCGAAGGCAGCCUGCCAAGCCAUGACUGACGCUGAUGCACGAAAGCGUGGGGAUCAAACAGGAUUAGAUACCCCUGUAGUC